CCUAGGGUGGCAGCAGUGGGGAAUAUUGGACAAUGGGCGAAAGCCUGAUCCAGCCAUGCCGCGUGUGUGAAGAAGGCCUUCGGGUUGUAAAGCACUUUCAGUGGGGAAGAAAGCCUUGGGGCUAAUACCCUCGAGGAAGGACAUCACCCACAGAAGAAGCACCGGCUAACUCCGUGCCAGCAGCCGCGGUAAUACGGAGGGUGCGAGCGUUAAUCGGAAUUACUGGGCGUAAAGCGCGCGUAGGCGGUCUGAUAAGCCGGUUGUGAAAGCCCCGGGCUCAACCUGGGAACGGCAUCCGGAACUGUCAGGCUAGAGUGCAGGAGAGGAAGGUAGAAUUCCCGGUGUAGCGGUGAAAUGCGUAGAGAUCGGGAGGAAUACCAGUGGCGAAGGCGGCCUUCUGGACUGACACUGACGCUGAGGUGCGAAAGCGUGGGUAGCAAACAGGAUUAAUACCCCAGUAGUC
rnacentral:rRNA from 1 species